GGAACUUGGUCUGCUUCAGCCCAAGAGGAAUCAAAAGAUCAAAAGCAGUUUGGGAAGGCCAGAACCGUCAAGGGAUGGAGGGAGAAGGAAAAUCCAGGGGGUGUGGGGCUGCCAGAUGCUCCAGGCAGGGGGCCAGAAGGGGCUCACAAAGGCUUGCCCUCCAGGGAGAUGACGGCACUGCCCCCCAGCUUCUCUGCCAGGGUGCAGCGGUCCUUGACC
rnacentral:lncRNA from 1 species